AUGGUGUGACGUCAACGUGGGUCAUUUGCAUAGGUAGGUCAGUAGUCUCAUUCUUUGAAAAUGUGGCAGUCAAAUGAUGCAUUUAAUGAAAUGAAUGUAAACGAUCGGCAUAAUAGGACAAAAUCGUUAAUGAAUUAAAUAUUUAAUUACAGACAUCAUGAAUAAUGUACAGAAUUCAAUAUUUGACAAGGAGCAAGCAUGAGCUAACCAUUGAAAUAAGGAAAACUUGCGUGAAGUUUCCCGGGAUAAUGGUUAGCAACGUCCGGGGAUAUGGGUUAGCAACACCCAGGGGCUAUGGGUUUUGUAACGACAUGCGUUAACCAAUCAAAAUCCUAGAUAUAUACUAAGCCGGGG
rnacentral:lncRNA from 1 species